rnacentral:rRNA from 1 species
GACGUAGGGCGCGAGCGUUGUCCGGAAUUAUUGGGCGUAAAGAGCUCGUAGGCGGUGUGUCGCGUCGACCGUGAAAACCUGCAGCUUAACUGUGGGCUUGCGGUCGAUACGGGCAUCACUGGAGUUCGGCAGGGGAGACUGGAAUUCCUGGUGUAGCGGUGAAAUGCGCAGAUAUCAGGAGGAACACCGGUGGCGAAGGCGGGUCUCCUGGGCCGAUACUGACGCUGAGGAGCGAAAGCGUGGGGAGCGAACAGG